AGGCGCAGCCGCAGCCGCCCGGGCCCGGCCUGAUAUUCGGUGGAGAGCCGCAGCUGCCCGCCGCGGGGCCCCAGGCGCAGCACGCUCUCGCGCGUGGGCCGCAGCUGGCAGCACAGGAAGUCCAGGUGGAAGAGCGGCGGCGUGGGCGGCCCGGCGCGGCGCGGCGAGUGCGGGCUGGUAUCGGCCGAGCUCGCUUUUUCUGGGGACAGAGAGUGAGGCCUGGACACCCGGCGCCGGCCCAGGCCUGGCCGCGGGGAGCCGAAGGGCGACGAGUCCGGCGACGAGGCCGUGUCGCUGUCGGGGGCCCGGCAGAGGCGCAGGUCCGGGGCGGAGACGUGCAGCCGGGACUGCGCCGCGGGGAGUCCCCCGGCCGGGGCAGGUGGCGGCCCGUGGAACAGGGAUUCCCGCCGGCGCGUGUGCGGGCUCUCGGGCAGGAAGGCCCAGCCUUCGCGGCCCGCCAGGGCCGAGAGGGUCCAAAUCCCGUCUCAGAUGGGAGUGCUCGGCGGAGCGGGGCUGGGCGAGGAGCGCAGAGGAGUCAGAGGCUAGUCAAGUGAAGCAAUGGGAGUGGAGAUGGAACAAAGAAAUCUGCAAUUGGUUGUGAUCAAUUAGUUGUAAACACUACUGCACUUGGACCAACCUCUUCCUUUUCCUGACUGCUUAGGAAGGAUGGAAUGUAUUUCCUUCCUUCUGGGAGUGUUUGAAUGAAGAUUAGACUCUCCUUGACCAUGAAUGAAGAGCAACCAGUUUUUUAGUAUACAGUGAUUUAGACUCUGGGUCUAGAGUGUAGAUAUCAUGGGCACUGUGAAAGCACAGAAGGAGAAAAGGUUUUUAUUUUGGUGGGGCUUUGUGUCUGAAUUCUGGCCAAUGGAACCACGUGGAGGCCUGGCCCAGAACAUCUCCCUGUGGAUUCUCUCAUCUGGCAACUGGAUGCCUACACGAAGGGUGAUUUUGGAGUCAUGUGUUGGAGAUCACAAAGCUUUUGUCAGCCAGGUUCCUGAAUGACUGCUAGACACCAUGGGCUGAACUUUAUGAGCUCCAGCACCACCUCCAGCCUUCAGUGACUGUCUGGAGCAGGCAUCCGGAUGGAAGAGAAGGGGGACAACCAUGAACUUGGUGACCCACGGUCAGCCUGAUUUCCCUUGUGGACACAUUUAUGCCCAGUGUGCAUUCCUCCUGAGGUCUGUUCCAAGUCUGGAGGCAGCAGAGUAGAGUGGAGAGAACAGUGGACUUGGAAUCUCACCUCCCAGAUUAGAGUCCUGGAUCUGACUUUGAUUGCUGGUGCUGCCUCGGGCAAGUUACUUUAGCUGUGUGCAUCUCCAUUUCCCCAUGGAUAGAACAUGGGUUUUGGGUAGAAGUGUCUGAUAGCUGUACUGUGCUUUACGGUUCAUGAGCACGCACACAUAGGCCCAUAAUAUCAUAUCUCUGGUCACCCUGGCAGGUAGAUAUUAUUGCCCCAGGUUUCAGGUAAGAAGACUAAAGACCAGGGGUCAAUUGCUUGCUCAGAGUCCCACAGCCAGCAGCAGCCAGGCAGGACACCAAGUCAGAGUCUAGAUUCCGGAUCUUGCCCUCUUCCAAGUGUACCACAUUCUUCUCAAAGUGGCCUCUCAGGUCUUUUGUCCAGAAAAUUUUGAGACUUUGAUGAGAAGCCCAUAUCUGCACACUGGGGAUUAGGCCAGAUAACCCUGUGUGUCCUUCCAGGCCUGGUAUUGUGAGGCUGAAGCCUAGUGCCCCACACUCCCUUCCUCACCCCUUAGAGAAAGAUAGAGACUCCAGGGCCAGCCUGGUGGGUGCUGAACCUGCCCUGCUGAGCCAAGCCCAGGAGGCAGCCAAGGUCCUACCAGUGACCUUACCCUGGGGGCCCCUCCAGGUAGGAGCCUGGUUGGAAAAGACAGACCGACUUCUUCUGGGUUGGCUGGAAAAAGAUGACAUACUCAAAGCCUUGUCCUUCCACUUGGAUGCACCUGGUGAAGAUGCGACAGUCACCUUUGUCUGGGGAGAGAUAGGCAGUGUUGCAGCCGGAGAAGGGAGGGUAUGGUCAGGAUGCAGCACCAUUUGGUUGAGUCUUGCCUCUGGUACAAGAUUAAGGAGAGAAAACCAGAGGACACCAGGUCCACCCCCAGGGAGCCUUCCCUCUGGGAGCAGAGGCACAGUUGCUGUCCUCACAGAGCCUUUCUGUCUAGGGCAGAAACAUGCAGGAAGUGCCCUGGCUGAGAAUGGAGAUAGGAUCAGGGCCAGGGCAAGACUUUAAGAGACCAUAAGCAUUGAAAAUUGAAAAUGUAAUUACUCAUGUAACUCACAUAUAAUUCAAAAGAAUAAUAGUAAACAGUAAAAUA
rnacentral:lncRNA from 1 species